rnacentral:rRNA from 1 species
GUCCACGCCGUAAACGAUGUCGACUAGCCGUUGGGACCCUUGAGGUCUUAGUGGCGCAGCUAACGCGUUAAGUCGACCGCCUGGGGAGUACGGUCGCAAGAUUAAAACUCAAAUGAAUUGACGGGGGCCCGCACAAGCGGUGGAGCAUGUGGUUUAAUUCGAAGCAACGCGAAGAACCUUACCUGGUCUUGACAUCCAGAGAAUUCGGCAGAGAUGCCUUAGUGCCUUCGGGAACUCUGAGACAGGUGCUGCAUGGCU